CAAAAACAUCUUUUCUUGUUAGUUUUUGAAGUAUGACCUGCCCACUGACGUUUAAAAAAUUGUUGAAGGGCCGCGGUAUUUUGACCGUGCAAAGGUAGCAUAAUCAUUAGUUCUUUAAUUGUGAUCUGGUAUGAAUGGUUUGACGAGACAUAAGCUGUCUUAGGAGUAUUGAUUGUUGAAUUUGAUUUUUGAGUUAAAAUACUUAAAUGUUUUUAUGGGACGAGAAGACCCUAUAGAGUUUAACAGAUUUUUUGUUUAUUUUUAUGUUUGUUUGGUAUUUAUUGAGCAUUAAUUUUGUUUUGUUGGGGUGAUGGGAGGAAGUGCAUUUAACUCCUCUUUGUUUUUAUAUAUUUAUUUAUGUGUUUUUGAUCCAUUUAUUUUGAUUAUAAGAUUAAAUUACCUUAGGGAUAACAGCGUAAA
rnacentral:rRNA from 1 species